AAAUUACAGCAUGUCAUAUGUAAAGACGUUCAAAUGAAAGAUCCUCUCUAGUAGAAUAUGACACACUGCCUAACCCUUUUAAUCACCCUCAGUAAGAUUUUGUAAUGUUCAAAGAUCAACAUAAAACAAACCAAAAGAACCACCUUGUCCAUGUUAUGACUGUAAUCGUUAGAACCCUGGUGUAAGACAAAGACAUCAAAUUGACAACAUGAUCUCUCGUCAGUUAAUUUGUUAAACAGUUAUUUCCAAGACUAGUCAUCAAAGAUGCAUGCAGUCAUCAAAGAUUGCAUUAUCAUUUCAAGUCUGCGCUUUUGGGAGAAAAACAAACAAGAUAAUGAUGAAUAAAUUGCAUGUAUCUGUUUUAGAUUUAUUGUAUUUGAAUGUACAAAUGUUUAAAUUUGUAAUAAAUAUUUAAUUUUUAUAUUAUUUUAAUUUCUUUUAAUUUAUUUGAUUUUAAUUUAUUUUAAUUAUUUUUCUACUUUUGUUCAAUAUAUUUUUUAAAAAUAUAUUUUAAAAUAUUACUGACGGGAUUACCAAUGGACUAUAUCCGUCGGUAUAUUUCAAAGAGUUAGAAAAGAAUUUCUGUAAAUGUCACUUCUAUUGUUAACUCUUCGAUGGAAUUACAGAUGAUAUUUUGUUGGUGAUAUGCUAUAUUUACCGACGGAUAUACAGACAAACAAAUAAAAACACUGACGGAAUUGUAUACGGUAUUUUUUCGGUUAUAUAUAUGACAAACUUCCCGAGAAAAAUACUGACAAAAUGAAGUAGGUAAUUUAAUUAUUUUGCGCGCUUUGUUUGUCUUUUGAUCCAUUAAUAUAUUUAUUAGUGACAGACUCACCGAUAGACCAGAAAUUAUUGACGAGAGCUUUUCUAACAGACUAUUUUUGUCAAUGAACCUAUCGCUAAAAUACUUGUCGAUGAACUGUAAAUAUAAAUAGUGACAGAAAUUUAUAUAAGUAAAACUUUUAAAUUUGAUAGUGAAAAAGCUAGAUUCAUCUAAACAUCCAGAGCAACUUCUAUGUAGGUUCCAGGAUCAAAACAUAUCUUUAUCAAUACGAAAACUCUAAUGCAAGCUGGAAGGCGAAAAUUAUUCCUAAUCUGGUGGGCAACCGACUAAUGGGGAGUCCUAUGUUAAAUAGUAAAUUUGAUGGGAUGGGAGAGAUAUUAUUUACAGCAUCAAAUCUCCUAUAUUUUAGGAUAGAUCUCUUAUCACGAUAGCUUUUUUUCUGGAGGUUAAAUAAAGAAAGAGAGAAUCACACAGAAGGGACAUUCGGUCUUCCCUCUUUUUUCUUACUUUUACUUGUGGCAAAUCUGCAAGGAUGAGCAGCUGAUCUUUCUAUUCAGCUCAAAGGGGAUAGAGUCCAUCACCAUAUUCGGUUGUGAGAAGUAACGCUACUAGUAAUCCUUUCACAUUUAAGUAUUUAUUCAUCCAUGUUUUAUUUUUUAUGCUAUUAAUUUUUUUGUUUAUGCUUGUUAAAUCUGUUUGAGAUAGCAUAUAUAUUUUCUAGUGUCUUUCAAUUCAUAAUUGUUAUUAGAGAUUAGAACAAGAAGUAGAUAAAUUGUAUUGAUUGUUUGAUCUGUCACUUUAAUUUAUUAGGGAGGAAUGAAUCAUGUUUAAUUAUUCAAGCUUUUGAAUGGUUGCUCGAAAUAAAAUUUAACAGGACACGCUCUUAAGGUUAUUAUCAAGUGAAUGAGAAUUGCUUCUCAAUAUUGAAUUUGCUUGAUCAUAAGGAAUUGAUUAGAAAAUUAAUCUAAUUAAUUUACUAUUAAUCUUCAUGAUUUCUCUUAGUUUUAAGAGAAAUUACAUUAAUUUGCUUGAAUUGAAGGGAUAGUCAUUUCAUUUCUAUGAUCAACCUGUUUAUAGAAAUGGAUGUAUAACCCUUUGAACUGAGACAACAAAAUAGUAAUUACCUUAUAAGUUUUUUAAAUUUCAUUACUUUUCUGAUCUAUGUUUUAUUCAUACUCUCUUGUCUUUUUUUAAUUUUAGUGCUUCAUAUGCUUAGCUAAAAUUUCUCUUGGAUUCGACCUGGUAUUCACCAUUAUACUAUUAGAUAUUGUUUAGGUGAUAGUGAAAAUCAGAAUUAAUAUUUGGAGAUUCUGACAACCGAUCGUCUUUAGUAUGUUUUGGGAUUGGAAGGUGACCCUUUUCCUGCAAGCUCUUAAUAGUUUCAUACAGGCACUGUUUCAUUGGGGUGAAUUCGAUACCCAGAUCCUUGAUCUUCUGGUUUGUGAACUUGUAGGGUUGUUUUCUUGGGUUCUUCUCAUCUGAACACCUACAAAUGCAUUGCAAUACAAAAUAUUAAUAUUCAAGAUGAAUAAAAAACACAACACAAUUAAAUCUUUCUACAAACUUGGUAGGUUUUUUUCUACAAAAUAUUAAUAUUCACUAGCUCAUUAAGCACUAUAAUUAGACAAACAUAUUUGAAAACUUAAAUGCGCGCGCGCGCACACCAGAUUAAUCCAAAUUAAUAUGUUUAUGGUUUUAUCUUUUUACAAAUUUGAACAAAACAAAUGGAGAAUGUACUUCACUUAAAUGCACUUAUUGAUUAUAUUCGUUUUAUUAGUGUUUGUGGGCUUGUGAUAGUCUUCUAAGUUCUAAUUGUAUUUAAUUUCAUUUAUUUUUUUAAUUACUGUAUGUUUUUUUUAUUCUAAUCCGUAUGUAUGCAUGAUAUGAUACCAUUUGUAUAGUUAUCAAAGAGUUUAAUUGAGCUAAUCUAUGGAUUCACUUAUAACCUAAGCAUAUUUGAAAACUAGAUUAUUUUAUAUAUAUAUAUAUAUAAACCCUUGAGAUUCAUGAUACAACCAUAUUAUUCGUAUUAUAUAAUAAUAUAAAUCAUAUCUUGAGACAUCAUCUAAUAGCUUAAGCUUUUAAGUUGAGAUAGUUAUUUGACAUGAUAUCAGAGCUUAACAUAACCUUUGUUUUUCGAUCUGCCAAUAUGGCCUCAUCUCCUUCAAACUCGGUUACUCCUGUCAACAUCCAUAGCCUUGUCACAAUUAAACUUACCAAGUAUAAUUACCUUAUUUGGAAAACUUAAAUCGUCCCCUACCUAUGUGGUCAGCGCCUGUUUGGGUUCAUUGAUAUAACCAUCUCUAGUCCUAGCCCCACCAUUCCUAAUCCUGAAGCGGCAACCUCCUAAACCACUCCCACUGAGAUAUCAAAUCCCAACUACAUUACUUAGUAUGAUCAAGAUCAGGUUGUUCUAAGUGCACUGGUGAUGCGAUCCAACCAUCAAAGGAUCCAUUGGAGGUUCCAGUUGGUCCAGUUACUAGGCUUAGGGCUAAGAAGUUCAAAGAAGCUUUCAAUGGACUUCUUCAAAAUACAUGGGCUAAGGUGGACUUCAAGAGGAUUUGUAAUAAUAAAGAGCAAGCCUUGAUUAAUCUGAUUCAUGUUCAAGGGGGGCUUGUUGGUGGAACCAAGACCAUUACACAAGGAUUGGGAGAAGAAGACUAGGUUCGAACAGUUUGACCUUUCGUUACUCUUUUGGUCAUAACUGGAGCUACAGAUCGAAUUUUUAUGUGAUUCUAGUUGGGCUGGAAACUAUACUUCCAUACCUUUCCAACGGUAUAUGGCAUGUCUUCUAAUUCAUUAAGACGAGAGAGAACCAUUCAUUUUAAUUUGGGUCUUGCUGCUGCCAGACAGAAUGCGGAAACAAUGAACUUGUCUUAUUUAAUUAGUUAGGCUAUCAAACUUUAUUUAUUUUGAGAGGAGACAAUUUGUUUGGGUUUUAGACUUUUAUAUUUUGUUUAUUUUAAUUAGUUUGGGCUAGUUUUAGCUUGGGUUGAUUAUUAUUUAAAUUAGGUUUAUGUGAGACCUAUUAGGGAAAUUAGGGUUUUGGCUUGGAGUUUAAAUACUCUUUAGGAAUAAUUUUAGCUUAGACUUUUGAUGAUAUUUUCAGUAUUGUAGCCGAAUUUUGGUUGCUCAAUCUUGGUUCUUGAUUGAACUUUCAACUCUUCAAAGAAUUGACCAUUCUUUGUUGUGAAUUUAUACUUCUUUUGCUCGUCUCCAGGUGCAGGCGUUGUGAUCGAGUUGGUUUAUAAUCUUGUUGCCUUGGAGCAAGUCUUCCAUUGUGAUAAGAUCAUUCAAAUCUCAACAAACUUGGAUUAGAUUGAUCUUGGGGUCGCGAAUACCAUUAUGUUCCGUUAGGGUUCGCAUUAGUUGGUAUCAGAGCUGAUCUAAUCACAGGUUAUAUCCUUCAAUUUGAGUCUUUAUUGUUUCUUAUUUGAUUCUUGAUUGAUUCGGCCACCUAUAUAUAUAAAAAAAAUAGGGAUCUUACUUUUGAUUGCUUUGUUGAACACUUAAUCAUAAAUUAGUGUUCUUUUGAUGCUUUCUUGAUCAAAAUUGGCAUACACACCUAAGUUCUCGAUUUUGUUUUGUUCUUGCCGAAUAUAUACAUCUAUAUAUAUAAAAAAAGGCUUGAUCUUGAAAUCUUGAUUGCUGCCGCAUAAAAAAAAAUCACUUUUUUUUUAUAGUUUUGGUCGAAUACAUGCUUGAGAAAACCUUGAUCAUUGGGAAAUUGGUUUGUCUUGAUUCAUGAAUCUUUUAGUAGUCUUGUUUGUGUUUCUUGAAAAUUUGGGUAGUUUAGUUGAUUUUCUUGAGUUUCUAGAAUUUUCUUGAAUUAAAUCCUUAGUUCUUGAUAAUUCGUAAUUGUUUAGCUUUUUUCUGAUUUUUUUUUAUUUUUAUUCGUGUCUUCAAAUCGUCAUAUUUUUCGUAUAAAUUUGCAUUGCUAUUCGUGAAUUUGUCAUCGAGUUUCAUUUUAUUAGUUUUGUAAUUUCUUGCUUCUAGAAUCCAUAUCAAAUUUAUAAAUUCACUGCAUAGUUGGUUGCUUUUUCUGAAUUGUUGCUAAGUGAUUUCAAGAACUAAAGAAAGACAAUUUGAGUGGAAAAAGGCAUAGGGAGCAUAUUUGAGUGAAAAGCCUAUAAAUUUAUGUGAAACAUGAGUGAGUGAGGUGUUUAUUUUUAUUGCUAAUGAUUUUCGUGCAGGUUUAAAAAAAAUAUCUUCUAACAGUGUGUAACAGAAGAAGGGUGAAAUCCCAGAAGAUGGGCUUUCGAGAAUACAACAACAUAUGGAAUUUAUGUUUGGUGAGCUGAUGACUAGGAUUGAAAAAUUAAAGACUAGGUCUGAUGGAGGGCGUAGUAAAAGGGGUAAAAAAGCUAGGAAGGAGGAAAGUGUUGCUAGAAACUCUACAGAUGAAGCCGAGGAUGAUCUUAACCGUGGUGGUGGGUUCCGUACACAUAGGGGAGAGAGGUAUGAGAAUCGGUCAAAGAGGGGACAUAUUCGGCCACAUAGAGAUUUUGAGCAUAGAGGGGAUUUUGAUGAUUUAGGAGAUAUAGACCGAAAUUUGGGUAGUAUUAAGUUAAAAAUCCCAGCCUUUAAGGGAAAAACUGAUCCGAAAGCUUAUUUAGAUUGGGAAAAAAAGGUGGAGAUGAUUUUUGACAUCUAUAGAUACUCUGAAAAAAAAGAAGGUUAAGUUAGCUAUAGUGGAGUUUACUGAUUAUGGCAUGGUUUGGUGGGAAAGAUUGGUGGUAGAAAGAAGAAGGAAUAGAGAAAGACCACUUAGCACAUGGGAGGAGUUGAAAACAAUAAUGAAGAAGAGGUAUGUUCUUAAACACUAUUAUCGGGAGUUGUUUAAUCGUUUACAAAUGAUUACAUAGGGUAAUAAAAGUGUGGAGGAGUAUGAGAAAGAACUAGAGGUGGUUAUGAUUAGAGCUAAUGUUAAUGAAGAUGAGGAAGUUACUAUGUCUAGGUUUUUGAAUGGCUUGAAUACAAACAUAGCUAAUGUUGUGGAGUUGCAAUCAUAUGUUGAUUUGGAGGAGUUAGUACACUUAGCCAUUAAGGUUGAAGGACAGUUGAAAAGGAAGGGUAAUACACGAUCUGGAGCUUAUACAGGGUCUUCUUCGGGUUGGAAGAUGAAUAAUAAGAGAGAGGGUAGUGCGUCAUCGAAGCCUUUGGUGACUUCUAAAGUUGCCGAACCUACCUCCAUGAAGAAGCAGGUUUUGGCCAAUGAUAAAAAAACUUAAGGAAGAAGUUCAACCGAAGCGUAAUCGUGAUAUAAAGUGUUUCAAGUGUCAAGGAUUGGGACACUAUGCAUCAGAAUGUGCAAAUCGUCGAGUUAUGAUUCUAAGGGAUGAUGGAGAAAUUGUGUCCACUAGUAAGGAGUCUGAUUGUGAUGGCAUGCCCCUACUUGGGGAUGCUAGUGAUUUAGAGUAUUCUGUUGGUGAUAAAGUUUUGGUGAUUAGAAGGUCACUUAGUGUUCAGACUAAGGAGGAUGAUGUGGAGCAACAAAGGGAGAACAUCUUCCAUACUAGAUGCCUAAUCAAUGAUAAGGUAUGUAGUAUGUUCAUUGAUAGUGGUAGUUGUACUAAUGUUGCUAGUGUUACUUUGGUUAGAAAGUUGGGUUUGAAUACCAUAAAGCAUGAGAGGCCUUAUCAACUUCAAUGGUUGAAUGAAUGUGGUGUAGGGUGAAUAGACAGGUAAUGAUUUCUUUUUCAGUAGGCAAAUAUAAGGAUGAAGUGUUAUGUGAUGUUGUGCCUAUGCAUGCUACUCAUCUGUUACUAGGGAGGCCUUGGCAAUUUGAUAGAAAAGCCAAGCACGAUGGGUUUAAGAACAGGUAUUCAUUGAGAAUGAUGGAAGGAUUUAUACACUUGCCCCACUCUCACCAAAACAAGUGUAUGAAGAUCAAAUUCAAUUGAAAAAGGGCUAUAAGGAAGAGCAACAUGUUUCGACCAAAGUGGAGGAACAAAAAGAUUUGGCCAAAAUGGAAAAACAAGCUGAACAACAUGGUGAGGAUGUGAGGAAAAGAGAAAAGAAAGUGAGUCAUGAGUUGAAAACAAAAGGGAACAAAGUUUCGGCCCUUAGGACAUUAGGGGAGGGUCAUGGCCAAGAACAAAAAAAUGAAAAGAAGGCCGGGAGUGGAGAGAAAAUGAGUGGAGAGAAGAAAGAAAGGGUGAGAAAAGAAAAGUGUGUAGAAAAAGUGGGGAAACACCUUAAUUUUUUUUGCAAAAUCUAAUGAUCUUAAACAUGCCUAUCUUUCUAACUUGCCUAUGAUUUUACUUGUGUAUAAUGAGGCAUUCUUUAACUCAGAUGAAUUAGAUUCUUAUGUUCCUAGUGUUGUUAAAGUUCUUUUGCAGGAAUUUGAGAAUGUCUUUCCGGAUGACAUUCCUAGUGGUUUUCUGCCAAUUAGAGGUAUUGAGCAUCAAAUUGACUUUGUUCCAGGAGCAUCUAUACCAAAUAGGUCGGCUUAUAGGAGCAAUCCUUAAGAGACUAAAGAGCUUCAAAGGCAAGUGGGGGAGUUGAUGUCGAAAGGAUACAUUCGAGAGAGCAUGAGUCCUUGUGCAGUUCCCGUGCUUCUUGUUCCAAAAAAGGACAAAACUUGGCGAAUAUGUGUGGAUUGUCGACCUAUUAAUAACAUCACUGUAAAGUAUCGACAUCCCAUUCCUAGAUUAGAUGAUAUGUUGGAUGAAUUACAUGGUUCUAAAUUAUUUUCGAAAAUUAUUUUCCUAGAUUAGAUGAUAUGUUGGAUGAAUUAGAGGUUCAAUAGAAGUCAUGGAUGAUCGUUCAUGGAUGUAUCGAGAUUCACCCUAAGGAUUGCGGAGGAUGGAUUAUUGUAACGGGGUUCAGGGUUUUAUUAAUUUCGCAACAUCUAUUCCCAGAAAUUUUACUGGAGGUGGUAUUAGGUGUCCAUGCAGGAAGUGUGAAAAUAAAAAGUAUCUGUAUCCAGAUGUUGUAAUGAUACAUCUUCUACACAAAGGGUUUAUAGAGAAUUACCAGUGUUGGUAUGCAUACGGAGAAGUAUUUGUUAGUAAGAGGAGAAUGGGAGAAAUGGUGGUUGGGUCAACUUCUAGUGCUAGCAACGUGCAUGAAGCGGCAAAUGACAACACUAAUCCUUACAGGAAUAUGGUUAUGGAUGCAAUGAGAAUGAAUCAAGGUAAUGUCAGUCAAUGUCCAAUUGUAGAAGAAGAACCUAAUGCAGAUGCAGCUAGGUUUUUUGAUUUGUUGAAAGAUUCUGACGAACCAUUAUGGGAUGGUUGCACGAACCACAGUAAAUUAUCGGUCAUAAUACAGGUGUUCACCAUCAAGUCAGAUCACGAGUUGAUGAGGCCGGGUAUGACAAGAUUAUUGAAUGGGCGAGAAGCAUUUUACCUGAAGAAAACAGGGUGAAAGAGAACUUCUAUGCUGCGAAGUCCAUGAUGAAACCCCUCGGUUUAGGAUACCAGAAAAUUGACAUGUGCCAUAACUUCUGCAUGUUAUACUGCCUUGAUAUUUUUUUUGAUGACCGAGUGCAUGACAUGCAGGCAUUCCCGUUACAAAGCCAGAACUGGUAGGGGAAAGACUCUAGUGGCAUAUAAAAAACUUAGAUACUUCCCAAUCACAUCUAGACUGCAGAGGUUAUUCAUGUCACCAAGGACUACUGAGCACAUGACAUGGCACCAAUCACAUGAUGCGGUUGAUGGAGUGAUGGUGCAUCCUUCUGACGGCGAAGCGUGGAAACACUUUAACAGUGUGCAUCCUCACUUUUUAGCUGAAUCAAGAAACGUGCGUCUUAGGUUGUUUACAGACGGAUUCAACCCAUUCGGGUUAUUUGCUACUCCUUAUUCUUGUAAGCCGGUCAUACUGACGGUUUAUAACUUGCCACCAAGGAUGUGUAUGAGGCCGAAGUUCAUGUUUUUAUAUAUGGUCAUACCAGGUCCGAGCAGCCCAGUCUGUAAUAUAGAUGUUUGUCUUCGACCGUUGAUUGAUGAGUUGGCGCAGUUGUGGUCCUCCGGAGCUUUGAUUUAUGAUAUAUUGAGGAAACAAAAUUUUCUUAUGAGGGCGGCUUUGACGUGGACUAUCAAUGAUUUUCCAGCUUAUGGAAUGCUUUCUGGUUAGAGCACGUAUGGGAAACUAGCAUGUCCAUACUGCGUGGAAAACAACAAGGCAUUCACGCUAACAAACAGAGGUAAAGCUUCUUUUUUUGAAUGUCACCAUCGUUUCUUGUCACAUAAUCACAAGUACAGAAAGAACAGAAAAGAUUUCUUUGUUGGCAGAGUUGAAAAGGAUGUGCACCCCCGUGUCUUNNNNNNNNNNNNNNNNNNNNNNNNNNNNNNNNNNNNNNNNNNNNNNNNNNNNNNNNNNNNNNNNNNNNNNNNNNNNNNNNNNNNNNNNNNNNNNNNNNNNNNNNNNNNNNNNNNNNNNNNNNNNNNNNNNNNNNNNNNNNNNNNNNNNNNNNNNNNNNNNNNNNNNNNNNNNNNNNNNNNNNNNNNNNNNNNNNNNNNNNNNNNNNNNNNNNNNNNNNNNNNNNNNNNNNNNNNNNNNNNNNNNNNNNNNNNNNNNNNNNNNNNNNNNNNNNNNNNNNNNNNNNNNNNNNNNNNAUAGAGUUGGUUUGUGAUGAGUCACGGGUCGCAAAACCAAGAGCAAGCUUCGUGUUAGAGAAAAACGCACAUCUACUAGUCUUCAAAUGGCUUAAGAGUCUGUGUUUUUCGGAUGGACAUGCCUCGAACAUAUCAAGGCUGGUUAAUAUGGAGGAAUGCAGAUUGUAUGGAAUGAAGAGUCAUGACUACAACGUGUUUAUGCAAACAUUCAUCCCAUUAGCUUUUCGUGAUUUGUUGCCAAAAAGGAUAUGGGAUGCACUCACGGAGAUCAGUCAUUUCUUUAGAGAUUUAUGCUCCAGCAAGUUGAAUGUUAAUCACAUUGAGAGGCUUGAAACGAAUACAUCGAGACACUAUGCAAACUUGAGAUGAUAUUCCCUUCAUUAUUUUUUGACUCAAUAGAGUAUCUCCCCAUACAUCUACCGUUUGACGCAAAAGUUGGAAGACCGGUCCAGUAUAGAUGGAUGUACCCAUUCGAACGGUUAGAUAUUACAGUUGCAAUGUAAUUCAUAUAUAAAAGUAUUUUCUUUGUUUUUCUUCAUUGAAAAUAUUUGAUUAAUUCAAUGCAGGUCCUUGUUCAAUCUCAAGAAAAAGGUUAAGAACAAGGUGCAUGUUGAGGCUUCGAUAUGUGAGGCCUAUAUUUUGAGGAGAUAUCAACAUUUAUCUCGUACUAUUUCGAACCUCAUCUGAGAAUGAGAAUCAAUCGCGUUCCACGGCAUGAUGAUGGCGGUGAAGUGUCUUCCAGUGGGAACUUGUCAAUAUUCUCCAAUCCUGGACGACCCACACCUAAAAAUGUCGUAAGAGGAAGAUAUUUGUCAGAAAUAGAGUUCAAACAAGCACACAAUUAUGUUCUAUUUAACUGUGAUGAGCUGAGACCUUUUAUUCAGUAAGUGUAUAUAUGUGUAAUACUAAUUAAACUUUGUUAAUAAUAUACUGUUAAUUAUAUAUUGUAAUAUAAUACACUCAUUACCACUUGUAGGGAACAUCAACAAUAUUUGUUGCCCAAUAACUCAUAGCUGACCGAAUCCCAGAUCUUUCAAUUACAAGAUGAACAAUUUGCCACAUGGUUCAGAACACAUGUAAGCACUAUCACAAACUCAUUCUCACUUGCAAAAUUAUUGUAUGCAUGUCAUUACGUGAUUCUCGUUUACUGUUCAUUGAUGUACAUUAUAUACAAGGUUUAUCAAAUGAGAAGAAGUGUUGCUAAGUCAUUGUCUUCACUAAGCCUAGGCCCUGAAAGAAAAGUUAAGUGUUACAAUGGGUAUUUUGUCAAUUGAUAUGUUUUCCAUACUGAAGAAUACGGGCAUGGAAGAAAGACAUACAACAAUGGUGUUUUUGUUAAGGGAUCGACUAGUAGUGAGUUAAAAGUUGACUACUAUGGUAGAUUAGAAGAGGUCAUCGAACUGCAAUAUCAUAGCGAGCAGAAUAGAGUGUUUUUAUUCAAAUGCUAUUGGUAUAACAUGACUGACAGAGGAAUCAGAGUUGAUUCGCACUAUGGUCUGGUCGAAAUCAACUCAAAAGCUAAACUCCGCAACGUAAACGAUGUCUUUGUUUUUACAAAGCAAUGUCAACAAGUUUAUUACACAUACACCCCUUCUUUUAGAAAGGAUCGAUCAACAGUGGAUUGGUUGUCCGUUUUAAAAACGAAACCCAAGGGUCGUGUUGAGCUUGUUCAGGAUGAGAACGAAGACACAAGUGUGCGAGAUGAAGUCUUUCAAGUUAGUGAGUUGGUUUACCCAUAUCGAGUUGCUCCUUCGAUUGACUUGGAAGAAAAAUCAAAUUUUCGUGUUUUCGAUGAUAGUCUUGUUGAUGUUGACGCAGAGGAGUUGAAUGUUGUUUUGAGCUCUAGCAGACAAGAAAAUGUCGAUGAAGAUGAUGAUAUCCAUAUUGAAGAUUGUGAUGAAGGUCAUGACUAUUCAAUUGACGACGAAGAAGAAGAAAAUUCAGACUAACUAUCAGAAUGAAGCCAUGUGUAAAAACAAAUUUGUAACAUGAAAUAUUUAUUUUAUAAGUUUAUGUAAUGUUUAAGCACUGUUGUUAUUGUUUUGUGCGAUGGACAGUUUAGCAAUCAAAAUAAUUACUUGAAAUGCCACUAUCACCGACGUCCAUACCAACGGACAAACUUCCGUCGGCAUUUCACUUAGAGUUGAAAAAUAAUUACUUGAAAUGCCACUAUCACUGACGUCCAUACCGAUGGACAAACUUCCGUCGGCAUUUCACAGAGAGUUGAAAAAUAAUUACUUGAAAUGCCACUAUCACCGACGUCCAUACCAACGGAUUCCAGGCCUUCGGUAUGUUAUCGGUGGGUCACUAUUACCGACAACAUCACCGGCUGACUGUGCGAAUUCCAAAGAGCAGUGCAUUAAAUGCAUCUCUGAUCGCGUCAUGUUGCCGACGGAAUUACCGACGAACCGCGAAAAAUAUGGAGGUCAAUUAAAAACAUUGGUGCAAAAUUCAAAAUUUACCGACGGAUUUUCAAAGCUUCACCGAUGGAAUAAAUUAAAAUAAUAUUUUUUUUAUUUCUGUCGGUGAAUCCGUCGGUAAAACUACCCUAUAAAUCUCAGUGACCGCCCCUUCAGUUCAUUUUUUCAUCUCCUCUGUUCUUAAUUUCCCCUCUUCUUUGAUUUUUUUCCUUCAUUUCCUUCAAGAUUUCUGCAAAGGUUACUAGUUUUAUUUUUGAAUCUUCAUCAAAUUAAAAGGAAUGUGUUUCCUCUAUUUCAUUUUACUUUAAGGAUUUUUUAUUUUAUUUUAGCUAUUUUUAUUUUUUUUAUGUUUUUUUGUUUUGGUGUAUUUUUAUAAUUUAGAUAAAGUCUUGAAAUAAACACAUUAUUAAGGUAAGCAUAUUUCAUUCCUAAAGUCUAUAGUUUUUUUUUUUUUGAAUUUAUUGAAUAUAUUUUAUUGUUGUAUUGGCAUAAUUAUUGAAUAAUUUGUUGAAUUGUAAUUGUUAAUAUUGAAUUUACCUUAGAAUUAUUAAUUGAAUAUGUUGGAAUAAUUAGUAAUUUUACUCUAUUAUUGCAUGAUUUGUGUUUAAUUAUUUCCAUUGAUUUUAAUUGUUAGUCUAUAGUUUUUAUAAAAAAAAAAUUAUUCAAUAUAUUUUGUUGUUAUAUUGGCAUAAUAAUUGAAUAAUUUGUUAAAUUAUAAUUGUUAAUGUUGAAUUUACCUUAGAAUAAGUAAUUGAAUAUGUUGGAAUAAUUAGUAAUUUUACUACAUUAUUGCAUGAUUUGUGUUUAAUUAUUUGCAUUAAUUUUAAUUGUUAGUCUAGAGUUUUUUUUUUUAUUUAUUGAAUAUUUUUUAUUGUUUGUAUUUAUAUAAUGAUUGAAUAUGUUGUUAAUGUUGAAUUUACCUUGUAAUUAGUAUGAAUGUUAUAUGUAUAGAUGUUAUGUUAUAUACAAUAUUAGUAUAGAUGGAGUCAAUUGGUUGUGGCUUUUGUCAAUAUUUGCAGGUUUGUGGAUUUGGGUAGUAUCCAGUAUAGGGGAGGUGCUAUCGAAUUUUUUUUAACAUUCGAAUUUAAUUAUAUAAUUAUUCGUAUACAAUUGUGUAGAUGCGUAGAACGAAAACCAUAGCUCGUCGCUCAUGUAUGGUCGCAGCUAGUUCUUCUAGCAGCGAGGAUGACGUAACCUUAGGUACCUCUCAAGAAGAGGCAUCUACGCCACCUGCGCCGUCAACCGAUGUUGCCUCUUCCAGCGCAGGUUCACGGCGCAAAGGUGGCGUGCCUUCGCAGCGGAAUUAAUUCACCUGCAAGUACGAGGCCAUAGUUAUUAAACCCGGCCCGGGGGUUGACCCGGCCAAGGGGCCGGGUCCCGGGUUUCAUGGGUCAACCCGGAUUAACCCGGAAAAAUUAAAAAAAAAUUAAAGUUUUAAUAUUUCAUAUGAAAAAAUCCAUGUAAAUAUAGAUUAUACAUAUUAUGAAGUUUAAAAGAAUAUUUAAAAAAAAAAUUUAUCCCACAUUAAAAAGAUAUUAUGUUAAGCUUUUAAGUUAAAGUAUUUAAACUAAAAAAGUUUUUUAUCCCACAUUGAAAAAACAUAAUUUUUUUCUUGGAAACAUAGAGUAUAUAUUCUAAUGGGUUUCAAAUCCCACAUUGAAAAAACAUAACUUUUUUCAUGGGAACAUAAAGUAUAUAUAUGAAAGGGUUUCAAAUCCCACAUUGAAAAGAUAAUAUAUUAUCAUUUUAAGUUGAAGUAUUUAAACCAAAAGGUUUUUUAUCCCACAUUGAAAAAACAUCAUUUUUUUCUUGGGAACAUAGAGUAUAUAUACUAAUGGGUUUCAAAUCCCACAUUGAAAAAACAUGUUUUUUUUCAUGGGAACAUAAAGUAUAUAUAUGAAAGGGCUUCAAAUCUCACAUUGAAAAGAUAUCAUGUUAUCCUUUUAAGUUGAAGUAUUUAAACCAAAAGGUUUUUUAUCCCACAUUGAAAAAACAUGGUUUUUUUCAUGGGAACAUAGUGUAUAUAUAUAAAAGGGCUUCAAAUCCCACAUUGAAAAGAUAUUAUGUUAUCCUUUUAAGUUGAAGUAUUUAAACCAAAAGGUUUUUAUCCCACAUUGAAAAAAACAUGGUUUUUUUCAUGGGAACAUAGAGUAUAUAUAUGAAAGGGCUUCAAAUCCCACAUUGAAAAGAUACCAUGUUAUCCUUUUAAGUUGAAAGUAUUUAAACCAAAAGGUUUUUUAUCCCACAUUGAAAAAACAUGGUUUUUUUCAUGGGAACAUAGUGUAUAUAUAUGAAAGGGCUUCAAAUCCCACAUUGAAAAGAUACUAUGUUAUCCUUUUAAGUUGAAGUAUUUAAACCAAAAGGUUUUUAUCCCACAUUGAAAAAACAUGGUUUUUUUCUUGGGAACAUAGAGUAUAUAUACUAAUGGGUUUCAAAUCCCACAUUUGAAAAAAAAAAAAAAAAAAAAAACCGGGUCUCGUCCGGGUUCGCCCGGGUCACCCAGGUUCCGGGUCGACCGGGUUUGGCCGGGCUGUUUCCACAGCCGGUCUUUUAUUAAACCCGGACCGGUCCAGCCACCGGGUCCCGGGUCGACCCGCCGAGCCGGGCCGGGUUUAAUAACAGUGUACGAGGCACAGUGAAAGGACGACCUUUCAAUGUAAGUUUGUUAAGGUUUUAGUUUUUUCUUUUAAAUUAUAACAUAAUUUAUGAACAACUAAUCAAUAUUUCAUUAAUUUAAUUUAUUUCCAGGUUCACAAACAUUGAGGCCGCCUUAGUAAUAUCAUCGGUGUUUAAAUCGUCGAUGGAGAUUCCAUUAUUUCAAUGGAGUCAGGUAUCCAGACAUCCUGAAUGGAUACCUCAAAUUAAUGCAUGGUUUAACAGAUUUGAAGUUGGUGUUAAUUUCUAAUUUCCAGCUUAUUUCUAAUAAUUUAUUAAUAUAAUUGUAAAUAAAUUAUCAUUUUUAUUUAUCUAAUUAUUUAUACACAGCACAAAUUCGCCUGGGACAAGGCGCAUGAUAAAGUUGUGAGGAGGGUGUGGGAAAAUCACGCGACAACUAUGUAGCAUCGAAAACAAUACAAGAUUUUUUAGAAAAACAUUUAUGUUUCAACGUCUAAUUUCUCGCUAUGGAAGUAGGUUGCGUGAUUUUUUGUAUGAAUCACAAAAAAAGGCAAAACAAAACCGCGAGAGAUAGGGGUCUCCAAGGCUGGAACGACGUGGCAGUUUGGAGGGAUUUCAAACCGAUAUACAUCCUGGAAGAUAUAUGGUCGCGCUAUCUCGAGCACGUGACAUCUGAGCGGUUCACACAACGCUCAUAGUUCGGUGCUGGCAACCGGAAUCGCCCAAUUCAUGGCUCGGUGACAACGCACACCGGCGGCUCUGUUCCAUUUGCUGCACAUGCGAAACGGAUGGUAAUAUUAAUUUAAAUGAAAUAUAUCGUUAAAUUAAUUUGUUGUUAAUUAAUCUUUUUCAUUAUAGGCUACAUUUCUUGGACGUGAGCCAAGCCCGAUGGAGCUGUUUGUGGAGACACACGUGGGGAGUCAAGACCGCCAAAAGGGGGCGCAACAGUUUGUUGACAACCGUGCUCAACACUUCGUGGUAUGUUUGUUCAACCAUUUUAUUUUGUAGGUUAUUAUUUUUAUUGAAUUGAAUAUGAUGAUUACUUUUUUUAUUUUCAGGAGACCUAUAAUAGCCGGUUGAGGGAGAGAUAUGGGGACGAUCGUUUGACCCAUCCGGAAUUCGAUCCGGAUUUAUGGAUGGAGGUUGGAUCGUCUGGUGGACCCGAUAAAAAUCGGGUUUACGGGCUUUCCAACACUACGGCCGAGAACUUGCGGGCGGCCCGUAGUGUUUCAACUGUUGGGAGCUCCCAAUCAGUAUCGAGCACCCAAUCUAAGGAGUUCGUGGCUUUACAGCAACACACGGCUCAGCUCACCGAAAAAUACGACUACUUAUCAGCGGAGUAUGCACAACUCAAAGCGGAGCAUGCACAACAAAAAGCGGAGUAUGCACAACAAAAAACAGAUCAUGAACAGCUUCGCGAAAUGGUCAAGAACAUGGCAUCACAGAGUGGUGAUACAUGUGCGCCUCCUCCUUUCUUGCCGUAUAACCACCAGCCUCCUCCUCCUCCAGCUCCACCUUUAUAUUAAUUUGUAAUAAAUAUUAUUUACCUUUAAUAGUUCAUUUAAUAUUUUUUUUGAAACACAUUCAGUUUGUAAUUAAUAUUAUUUAACUUUAUUUUUUUUAUUUUUGAUGUUUCAUAAAAAAUUUAUUUGCAUAAUUGGUUUUUAUUACCAUUAAUUUAUAUAAUUUUAUAUUAUGUAUUCUAAAUAAUUUUUUAAAAACAUAUUUAAAAAUAAUCACAGAGGGUUUUAACGACGGAAUAUAUCCGUCGGCAUUUGACAGUAGCUACCACAGUCACCGACGAAUUUACAGACGGAUAUAUUCAGUCGGUAUUUUACACUCACUGACAACUUUACUAACAGACUUAAUCCGUCGGUAUUUGACAGUACCUGCCACAAUGACCGACGAAUGUACAGACGGAUAUAUUCGGUCGGUAUUUCAAACACUCACCAACAACUUUACCAACGGUAUGUAUCCGUCGGUAUGUCACACUAUCACCGACAGGAUAAAUCCGUCGGUAUAUUUCAAGCGGGAAACUUUUUUUUUCGCGUAAUUUUUUUCUGUAAAACCAUCGGCAAAUGUUUUUUUUGUGUUGCCGACCGAUAUAGCGACAGACGGUGGUAUUACCGACGAACGGAAAGCCGACGGACGUAUUCCAUCGGUGAAGACGUCGGUAAAUAAAUUAUCGACGAACUCUUAAUCACAUACCGAUAGAAUAUUUCCGUCGGUAAAACUGUGAAAUCUUGUAAUGUUUGAUUGUUAGAGGGGACUCUAAAUUAUUACUCUAAACCAAUCUAUGGCUAAGUUUGCUAUCAAAACCGAAGUUGUGAUAUAUGAACUUGUAAAGCGACUAAGUUUAAUAAUUAUGAUGGAUCUAUGUUGUUAAUCUUAGGGGAAACAUUCAACUAAAUCGACAAUAUAUUGCAAACAGUUAUGUUGUCUAAGAUUUAUCAACCUAUCUAGCUCUUAAGGCUGCCAUUGAUUUAAAUUACUAGUGCGGACACUGUGGUUGUUUAAUGGUUAGGUUUAGUUACAUUGUGGAUCGGUUAAGUGACUAAUGUUAAGAAAAGAUAGAUAUUCAUAAUAUAAAUUGACGUAUCAUUUCAGUGAUCGGUUUUGAUUUUCAUAGGUAGACGUUUACUUGAGACCAAGGUUUUUCUUUUAAUAAAUUUUGAAUUUAUUUAAUUUAGCUUGAUUAAUUUGUUCUGUUUACCAUAGUAUAGCCUAGAUAAUCUCAAAACCCUCUUAACUUUGAAUCAUCUAGUAUAAAGACUUGAAUUAGAUCUUUCUCGUGGAAUCGACCCCUUACUUGCUAUAUACUAUCUUGUUUGUUUAAGUUAGGGUAAUUAACUUGUAUAACUGCGACAUUGCAACAAUUCACCUUGUCGAGUCUCACCUGGUUUGACCGAAUCAACUAGAUCAUGAAUUGACCUGACAGAUCAUCUAAGUUUGAUUGAUCAACUUUGCUAAAAAAGUAAAAAACCAACCAGACUUGGAGCUCAAAUUUGAUAGGUUGUUAGGUCGAUAUGUAGGGCACACCGAGUUUUAAUUCUAAACUCUACCGAAAUUGCUAGUAGAAGGAUGGGGCCUAAAGUUCUGCAGCUGGAUUUGGUCGCACACAACUCAACUGAAGUCUAGGUUUGGGCUUGUAUAUAUUCCUAUUGCUUAUGCAGUCCUUUUUUUUUCCUGCCUCUUGGAAAAUACUCCUAUUGCUUAUUUUUGUGCUCAAAUCGACUCUAUCUUUUUGGUGAAAUUGAACGACUCAAAUUUCCCUAAAAAUGCUUCCAUUUCAAUUCAGAUCAUAAAAAAUAAAAAAUAAACUUUUUUUUUUACUAGUGAAGCAAAUGAUUAAAUUUUAGAUGUAUAAAAGAUGAGAAAAUAAGAUCCUUUGUCCAUAGAACAUGUCAGUUAAACUUGCAAGAAACUAAUAUAAUUCGCAAACUAGAAAAUCAUAGUUUCCCAGUAAGUACCACCACCUUUGUCUGAGCUUUGCUAACCUGUAAUAGCAGAGUGGAUGAGGCCAAUGAUAUGAUAAGUCAAUCAGUCUAAACCAACUGUGUGCCUUGGUUUAGACUUUAGAUUCGUCUUCCACAAGAUAGGGUAUGUACUGAUCUAUAAAGAGAUGGCAUCCUAGCGAUUUUGGGAGGGAAUAAGAGUAAGAGAAAUUGACAUCCUUAAUUAAUUAUAUUAGGAUAAUUAUCUUCUGAUCACCUGUACAUGCAACUAUAUUAUAUAUAUAUAUAAGCUUUAUUCGAUUUUUUAGACCUGAUUUUGAAAGAUAGAUAAUCAAUUCUCAAUCCAAGGGAAGCCACCAGAGAUGGUAUUGAUUCCAUAUUGAAAUUGGAUUAAACUUAAACAACAACAACAACCAAAAAAAAAAGUGGAACACUCAAAAGUUACAUCCAAUAAUUGAUUAAUUAAAAGAUUAAAACAUUGAUUAAUCUAAGCGCGAAGACAAUUAGAGGUCUUAGUAACACUUGCACUCUACAUUCUUCUUUAGUAAAUUCUUUUCCCUAGUAUGUAUUUUGCAAACAACUACAACCACACAUGGGGUGUGGACCUGUGCUUCCCCUCCUAAUAAAUGAGCUCUUAUUGAAUUUUCACAGAGUCUUCAGCUUGUUUUGGGAUUGGAAGGUGACCCUUUUCCUGCAAGCUCUUAACAGAUUCAUACAGGCACUGUUUCACUGGUGUGAAUUCGAUGCCCAGAUCCUUGAUCUUCUGGUUUGUGAACUUGUAGGGUUGUUUUCUUGGGUUCUUCUCAUCUGAACACCUGCAAAUGCAUUGCAAUACAAAAUAUUAAUAUUCAAGAUUAAUAAAAAACCACAGCACAAUUAAUUCUUUGUACAAACUUGGUAGGUUUUUUUCUACAAAAUAUUAAUAUUCACUAGCUCAUUAAGCACUAUAAUUAGACAAACAGGUACUGUAGCAUAUAAUUGCAUGAGAUUAGGAUUUAGGACCCAAUAAUCCUCUUCCUAACUCUCCAUGACAAAAUUUGAAAAUACAUAACAAAGCAAGAUUUAACUUGUGAUCCAAUAACUUUAUGCAGUACCAAUCGUAGAGGACCCAUUUUGGUCCAAAUAUGACAAAGACGAUGGGGUUGGUGAGGACCCUUUUGCUGCACCAGCAUUGUCAAAUCAUUUGGCUUUCUUUGUUGAUGAUUCAAAAAAUUAUGCCACGGGGGAUUCGAUUUUUGGUUAAGAUUAUCAUACAAGUCAAAAUUGGGACAACAAUUGCCCUAAGAUUAUCAUACUAAAUUGGGAUACCAUUAAGAAACCAAAAAAAUAAAAAUAAAAUAAGGCAGCGAUCUGCAAUUUUUUUUUACUAUAUUUAUAAUAUGGACAAAAAACCCUUUUCUUCAUUUAUUUUCUUAUUUUGGGCAUGAAUAGGGAUGAAGUAUCAGAGAACUGUCAUGCAACAGGAAGUGAGGAUUUUAUUCUUUAAUUUAAUUAUUGUACAAAAUCUUCCAACAUUCAUUGCCCUAAGUUGCUUUAUAUAUAUAUAUCAAAUGUCAACGAGAAAGUAAAAUUAAAAUAUACAAGCCUUAAAUUGACUAUCUUGUGCAAAUAUUCUGUUUCUUAAAAUCAUAAUAUAAUUUUGCUAAUGAAGAUUUCAAGAAAAAUCGGGAAAGGACCGUGAAAGAAAAAUAGGUUAGUAAUCACUUAAAAAUAUGUGGGUUUGUUUUUGCGUUCAAAAAAUUCUUUUCAAAAUUGUUCAAAAUCAUAAGAACUUACUUGGUGGGGAUGGGAUACUCCGGGAAGAACUUUGCAAGGAUUUCCACCACCUCUCCACGGUGGAGCAUUCUCUCAGCGCAAAUGUAACGGCCGGAGGCGGAAGGUGUCUCGAAGACUAAAAUGUGGGCUAGUGCCACAUCCUUAACAUGCACAUAAGCUUGAACAGAGUUAGCAUAUGUCUUGGCUGAGCCGGUUAGGUACUUGAGGAUGUGAACGAUGCUAGCAUUGACAGUGGGUUGCAACAAUGGUCCAAGCACCAGCACUGGGUUCACCACCACUAGGUCAACUCCAUUCUUCUUAGCCACAUCCCAUGCAUCCUGUUCCGCCACAGUCUUUCCAUAGCAAUACCAAUUCUGCAAUUCCAAGAUGAACUUACAUCAAGAUGUGAAAGAUAGGCAAUUAGGAUUUCAAGAUGCAGUAAGCCCUAUGACGCAAGGAAUAAUGAACUUACAUCAAGAUGUGAAGGAUAGGCAAUUAGGAUAGAGAUAUUUUUAUUUACACCUACUCUGUAUUCUUUGAGUAACCCAAGUGUAUGUGGGCACAAUAAUAUUUAUGUUAAUCAAUUAUCAUGACAUGUGAUUAAUUAGCAUAUAUUUUAUAUCAUGUUGAUUUAAUCAUCAAGUAAUAGCCGAUCCGUGCUCUAAUCAGGAGCUAUUUAAUUAUGUUAAUCAAUCAUCAUCACAUGUUAUUAAUUAAAUACCUUGGUGUUCUUGCAGAACUCAAGAUCACUCCAGCAAGAUUCAUCAACGACAACAUCAGGGCUCCUAUUGGGGUCCAUGUACACAGUACCAAUUGAAGACGUGAAAACCACUCGUCGGACUUGGGCCUCAGCUGCUGCCAUGAUCACAUUCUUGGUUCCAUUCACUGCUGGCUCCAGCAUUUGCUCCUUCAAGUAUUGUAACACAAAAUCAUCCCAUCAUCAAAACCAAAUUUGAAGAUGUUUUUAUUUUCUUUUCUUAAAAUUCUCAGCAUCCAAACAAGAUUUUUACUACCAAUGAACCGAAAAGAAAAGAAAAAAAGGAAACAUACUGGAUCGUCUGUGACAGGAGAAGCAGUAUGGAAAACUCCAUCACACCCUUGAAUAGCCUCUUUAAGAGACUCAUAAUCAAGGAGAUCAGCCUUGCAUAAAGUUAAUCUUUCUUGAGCUCCCUCAAGCUCCCUCAAAUGGGAAUUCUUGGGAUCAGCUGUGUAUAACAACACAAAUACAAAGCAUUAGAUUAGCACAAUCUUAAGAACAGAAAAAGAAAAGGGAAAGAAACCAAGUGCUUAAUUAUUAUAAACUAACCUGGGUUCCUCACAGUUCCUUUAACAGAGUAACCUUUCUCUAGAAGAAGUUUAACAAUCCAUGAAGCAAUGAAGCCACCAGCCCCGGUGACACAGACAGUUUGGCCUUGGCAUGGAAGUGAUGAAGUAUCGACAGGCAUGUUGUCUUGAUAUAUGUAUUAUUAUGUGUACGUGUUUGGUGGUAGAACGAAGGAAGAGAGACAGAGAGAGGGAGGUGUUUUCCUUUUCUCUUGAUUUAGGAGGUGGCUGCUACAAGGAAAGAAGUGGUGGAGUGGAUGUAUUUAUAAUUAAGGUUUAGAGUUACCUUCCUCACCCACUACCGGUAAAUAUUUACCAAAGAGAGUUUCUCUCUUUCCAUUAUUUUUCUUUCCUUGAGGUUUGUGACUGAGUUUUUGUGAUAUGAAUCGUCAGCACCAUGUGUGGAAUCCUGAUUGUUUUGUACAUGUGUUUUUUUUACCAAACGUGCAUGCUGUUUUUGACCAAAAUGUAAUUAUAAGCUACUAAUAAAUUAAGAAAUGAAAAUAUAUUAUACACAACGACCCAUUAAAUGGUUGUUGAUCACAAGUAGAGAGCAGUACUUAAUUUAAUUUGUUUUGGAAGGAGAGAGGGAAAGGAUCUCAUGGAUGACAAGUGUUCAUGUUAAAGAAUAAGCUACUAAUAAAUCUUACAUGGAAAACUUAUUGUUUUAUGUAUGUAUUUUUUGGACCAAAAGUGCAUGUUGUUCUCUUGUUCUUCUUUGGCAUUUACUUUGGUAUUAUUCAAAACAUAUAUUUGUAAUUAAUUUCCGAACAACCAAUUUUUGUUCUAUUAAUAUAUGAAUGUAUCGAAAAUAAUGAAAUCUCCAAGGAUAUUACUAUAUAUUUUUUUACCUUACCUUUAUUAUUAUUAUUAUUUUUAUUAUUAUUUGGAUACGAUAAAAAAAUUGGUUCAUCAAACAUAUUUAUGUACAGUCAACAUAGUUUUUCUCGGAUAAUUACAAAACAAAAUACAAUAAUUGAUUAUGGAAAUGCAUAGUUGAAUCUAUAUAUGUACAAGAAUAAGUAAAUCACCAUCCAUGUUUUUUUCUUUCUUUUUUAAUUUCUCUAUUCAAGAAUGCUCAUGACCAACAACGUUUACCUUUUGGUCAAAUCAUAUAUAUAUAUAUAUAUAUAUAUAUAUAUAGAGAGAGAGAGAGAGAGAGAGAGAGAGAGAGAGUUUAUAAUCUAUAUAUCCACAUGUUUCUUGUUUCUUGCAUGUAUAAAGAAAGACCUGAGAGUCCUUCCCUUCCUAGUAACUUCAAAGAUAUGAAUCUUUGACAAUUUCUUACGUCCAGUUCUCUUCUCUUCCCACUGAUUGACCUGGUCUCUUUUUCUUUUUUAUUGAACGUGUGUUUUUUAUUUAGACCAGCAUUUUCAUCAAAGGAGUGAAGGACAUGAUCUUUUACACGGUAACACCAACCAUAGUUGUUUGACGUUAUGGUCUCAUCUAUUUUUUAAAAUAUUUUUUGAAUUGGGUUUCUCUUGGAAGAAAUUUUAAAUUUAUCUUUUUUUAUAAUUUUAAUAUAUUAAUGUUAAAAAUAAAAAAAAUCUGAAAAAAUAUUUUUUUAUGCCUUAUUAAAAAAACACCUUACACCACCGCAUUACAAACACUAUCAAAAAUUUUGACCCGUAGUGUUUUGAUCGUUGGAUGCUCGUAGUCGAUGUCAAGCACUCAAACUCCCGAGUUCAAGGCGAUGUUAGACCAACAAGUACAGGAUCAAACGACCCAUCUUAAUGAAAAAUAUGAAUGACUCACUAUGGAUUAUAAAAAAACUUCGUCUCACUAUAGAUUAUAAAAAAACUUCGUUGAGUGAUAAUAGAGAUGAGAUCACACAUGAGUGGUCCAUGUGCUCUUUCUUAUUAAUUGAUCUCACGUUUCCAACAAUGAUCAGCCUCCUCCUCCUCUAGCGUCGUCUCUGUUUUAGAUUUAUUAUAUUUGAAUGUAUAAAUGUUUAAAUUUGUAAUAAAUAUUUAAUUUUUAUAUUAUUUUAAUUUCUUUUUAUUUAUUUGAUUUUAAUUUAUUUUAAUUAUUUUUAUACUUUUGUUCAAUAUAUUUUUUAAAAAUAUAUAUUUUAAAAUAUUACUGACAGGAUUACCGAUGGACCACAUCCGUCUGUAUAUUCCAAAGAGUUGGAAAAGAAUUUCUGUAAAUGUCACUUCUUUUGUUAACUCUUCGAUGGAAUUACAGAUGAUAUUUUGUCGGUGAUAUGUUAUAUUUACCAAUGGAUAUACCAACAGACAAAUAAAAACACUGAUGGAAUUGCAUAUGAUAUUAUGUCAGUUAUAUGACAAACUUCCCGAUGAAAAUACUGACAGAAUGAAGUAGGUAAUUUUAUUUUUUUUUGCACGCUUUGUCUAUCUUUUAAUCCAUUGAUAAAUGUAUUAACGACGAACUCAUUGAUAGAUCAGAAAUUAUUGACGAGAGUUUUUCUGACGGACUGUUUCCGUCUAUGAACAUAUCGGUAAAAUAAUUGCCGAAAGACUAUGAGUAUAAAUACUAAUAGAAAUUUGUGUAGAUAAAACUUUUAAAUCCAGUUGUGAAAAAUCUAGUCAAAGUCAAAGUCAAACUCACAACAGCAAAAGAAUCAAUACAUUGUCACUUUCUUUUUUCUUUUUGAUGUUCAACUGGCAGUUUGUUGCCGGCCGGCCAGUAAACCGAUUGAGAAACAAAAGAAUAUGACAAAGCUGGCCGUUGUCUGAGUCAUUGUUUUGCCUCAUGACCGGGAGCUAAUUUAUAGCAUUGCCGGAUUAAGGAAACAUUUUGUUCUUGUCUUGGGUGCCAUUUACUUAGCAUAUGUAAUACCCUAAAGGAUUUGCUCCUUUUCUUUCUCAGAAAAUCGUAUCUUGCUCGAUCGUCCUCCACUAUUGAUAAUUGAAUUUCAGUUCUAUCAGCUUUUGCCAUGUGUGCAUAUCAUAUUGGUUAAUGGCAAGUCCAUUAACAAAUUAGAGAUAUCAAACCAAGGAGCUCUAUAUCAUUGAAUUAAAGUAGAAGAUUUUAUAUGAAUUAAAAUUGAAUAAAGGAGUUUAUAUAACUGAAAUACAAUAAUGCAUGCAAGGGUACGUGAUGAAUUUUUUAUUUUUUUCCUCACACGAGAAGGAUUAUUUGGUUUUGAGCUAUUUAAUAUAAAUAAUCUAUGGCUAUUUGUUUUUCAGAGGGUAUUUAUAAAUGUGGUAGCGGUUGUUUUUUAAAAUGUUUGUUUUCUUGUAAAUACAUUAAAAUAAUAUAUUUUUUAAUUUUAAAGAAUUAUUUUUAAGAUCGACAUAUUAAAAUGAUUCAAAAAUAUAAAAAAAUUAAUUUUAAUAAAAAAUAAAUUAAAUUCUUGAAAAACUCAGUUUCAAACAUGUUUCCAAACGAGGUGAAAUCACAAAGUAAUGAGUGCUUUAUCUUUUACUUUAUAAGAUAAACUUGUUGCACUCACCCACUUAAACUCUUUGAUAUUGUGUUUCAAUUUAUAUUUGGAUGUAUUUUAAAAAUGUACGUAUUUGAUAUGAAAAAAAUAUUACAUUUACAUAUUUUUUAGUGUAUUAUAAUAAUUUUAAUAGAUUUGUAUUAAAAAUAAAAAAAUCUAAAAAAAAUAUUUUAAUAUAUUUUUUAAUAAAAAUAACUUUUAAAAAAUUUAUUACACCACAAUAUCAUCUCACACUAAAUCUUCCCUGGGAUUGAGUGAGAAAUAAGGUUUUUAGUGAUGGAGGUAUUUGAAUGUGUUUUAAAUUAGUUUCUUAAAGUGUUUUUAUUUUUAUUUAAAAAUAUAUUAAAAUAAUAUUUAUUUAUUUAUUAAAAAUUUAUUUUUAUAUCAAGUCAUCAAAAUAAUUCAAUAAAUAAAUAAAUCUUUAAAAAAAAAACACAAUUCCAAGCACAGCCGACAGUGCCGACAGUGAUUAUUUCCUACAAACUAAUCUAUCAUAAAGUUAUUUAAUUACUUCUAAUUAUAGCUCAAAAAAACAAAAAAGUUUUUGGUUCAAAAACUGCCACAUUGCAUAAGCCUAUUACAGCUAACUGUGACUCUGUAUGAACGCUUCUUAAUUGGAGAAUCUUUGUGCAUGGUUAGUAUUUAAGGAUAUAUAUAUAUAUAUAUAUAUAUAUAUAAGGAUAGAAAUAAUAUAUAUAUAUAUAUAUGAAAUAAACAAAAACGUAUUUGGAUUAAAAAAUAAAAAUAAAGAUAUAAAAUAAGCCUGUUUUCGAAAUAGAAAGCAUAUGAAAUAUAUUAUCUUUAUAUAUUUUCUAUCUUUUUUUAUUAUUAUUGCAGGAUAAUAACUAAUAAUUUUCAUUCUAUAUUUUACUAUUUUGAUACCAGAAACUAUAGCAUCAGAUUUCCAAAUCAGAAGUAGUUUUAACGGGGAAAGGAAUUUCCACAAUGUCCCCCCUUGUUUCGAAAUCGGUACACUUCAUGUGGCUGGCCGGCUGUCUCCAUCUCACCAACCUAGCUAGCCAUGCAUCUCCGGCAACUUCAAUCCAGAACUUCCCAAGCACUCUCACCCCAUGACCUAGGGCGUACACCACCUAAUGCCAGAAAAAAGACAAAAGAAGACACCAUUAAUUGGAAAGUCAAUUGCACUAACUACUAGUAGAUUUCCAUCACUUUAUGCGAUUAUAAUAUAUAAUCCAUCCUCUCUUAGAUGUUGACUCAAAUGAUAAAUAAAUUUGUUUUCUAAAUUGCUAUCUAUCCUGUGUUCAAAGUCCAACUAAAGUUGCAAGAUUGUUUUUUAGGUGACCUAACAAAGUCAUAAUAAAAAAUAGAGAGUCUCCAUAUAUAGGUAUACUAAGCUAGAUUGAUCGGGGAAUAUCUUUAUGUUAUGACUACUAAUACUUAUAACUUAAAAAUAAAAUAUAAAGAUUAGAGAGAAAAUAACAUCAGAACCCACAAAAAAAAGUGAUAAAAAUUCUCCCAAAUACUUCAAAAAAUCUUUUUUUUUUGUGUGUGUGUGUGUCUUUGAUAUUUCUAAUGUUUAGAAAAUUUCUCUUUUUUUUUUGUUUUACCACCACAUUCCCUUUGGUGGUUGGGACUGCGAGGUUGACCAUUUUUUGUAUUCCAUGUACGCGUUUAAUCUGAAUCGCGCGGAGAUUUCAAGAAAAUUGUAUUUUGUUGAAAAAGGAAAGAUGUGAAAGCAGCCUUGUACGAAAAAAUUUUGUCUUAAUCCUAUCCUCGUAUUAGCGUUGGCAUUAAUUUCUUCACAUGAUUGAUUUCAGGGAAGAAAAUUUCUGAAGCCCUCAAAGUUUCGUGGGUAGGCAGGUAGGUAGAUGACUGGUUUCUAAGGUUUUGAAAAACAUGUCCACUCUGAUUUUAUUGCAAGUCUUUAACAUUUGAAAAAAAAAAAAGUCAACUAUGUAUAUACACGAUCAACAACCUCCACAUAUGAAGACUUUUGAAAACUUCCACGAAGAAACAGUUGGAGGAGCUUCAAGGAAAGCACAUCAAAGACAAUUGACCCCAAAUCCUUUCAAUGAGAAACGUCACCAUUACCAAAUUUUGAGCGAAUAAUUCUAAUAAAUUACCCAUUUUUUGUACAAAUAGACGCAGUAAUGACUGCUUAUCUUCGUGUUUUGAUCAAUCAUUAACUGUUCACUCUUCAUCAGCUGUCACGUCAGUUUGUAUUGAAUUUAGUAUGGCUUGUUUGCGAAUGAUUUUCUAAGCAUGACUUCACUCAAUUAGGAUCAAGGAGGGAGAUUUCAAAGAUAAGUCCUAUAAUUCAAUAAUUUGGUAUGUAAUAUACUAUGGAGGGGGAGAAAAUGUAAGCAUAUGUUAGUUCAUUUUGGCAACCCUAUAUUCUUGUUUGUCGGCUUAGCAGGUGACCAUUUAAAUAUGAAGGCCUACUACUAGGACUCCCUUCUUCGUCCAUUAACAAACUGGUUCGUGCUUGUCAGCUUUCAAGUUUCAACAAAUUUGAUGUCCUGCGCAUCGAGGUUUUAGGUUAAUUUAUGGGGUAGUUCCUAUGAUUUAAUUAUUUGCAAACAGAAGAGCAAGUUAAAAGCUAAGAGAAGGAGAAGAGUUUCUCAAGAUUAGUUGGGUUGACAAGAGAUUAAUAAAUCUUGUAGAAUAGUGAAAAUCGAGGUAUGAAAUCCUGGCCAUGUCAUGACACCAUUGCAGGCCAAAACAUCCUCCUUUUCAUAAAUGCAUACGUUAUAACAUCCAGAGUCUUUAAAAUAAAGUGGCAGAGGUUGUUUCAAAAACACCCUUAAGAUUGCAAUCAAAUUGAGGUCUAAACACUUCAUGGGCUGAGGGAUCCAUUACAAUACAAGCCCCAUCAAAACCAUUGUUCCUGUCUAAGCCGAAGGAUUGCUUGCAUGUACUCCACUAGGGUCGCAAAAUAUAUCCUUCAGUUGCCUAAAACAGAGGCGCUAAAACUAACACUAGUUCUAAACGAAACCAAACUCACAACGUUUCCCUGUGCCUCUCCGUCCGCUGUGUCUGUACACGAGGUUUACCAGUUCCUACUCAGUUUCAGGUGAAAAGGAAGAGCUCACUUCCCCUUGUUGUUCCCUAUUAGAUCCAUCCGAGCCGUGAGAUUCAUCAUCCCCUUUGGAACUUUCAUCUUUGGAUGGUGUCACACCGACUGAAGUUGUCUGCUCAGAGUUGAAGCUACAAUACUCGGUACCAGCUUUGGGACUUCCAUUGUCAGAUGUAUUUACAGUCUCUGGCAUUGCUUGCUUGGACUUGAUAUCAGUCAAUGGAUUGUCGAUCUUCAACUUGACAGUAGAAUUUUCACCAUCAUCUUCUGAACCGCUAUCUUGCCCUGGUGUGUUUUUCCCAUCAUCUUCUGAACCACUAUCUGACCCAGAUGUGUCAUGAUCCGCAGGUUUGUUGACAAUAAUUGGUUCGUUAGGCACAGCACCAUAUGCAGAUCUUCUAGCUCUAGUUUUGGAAAUGUUGGCAGCUCUGCUCCUGGCAAACCAUCAUACAUUUCAGUCAGUAGCUGACCACGUGAAAAACACAACUCAAACGAAAGAAUGCAAGACAACCUUUUCGAGGAUGAAACAGCCUUUGAUCUCUUCCUUGACUCUGACUUAGUCUCGCAUUUGGCCUUUUGCAGUCUGGUAACACAUUGUAAAAGCAAAGCCCAGAUAAGACCUAACAUUAAGGAAUCAGAAAAGAAACUAUCUACAAACUAUGGGCAAACCAUGUUAAUAUAGUCUUAUUUAUAAAACUUUGAAGAAAAAUGAUAGCUAAACUUACACGUCAGAUGAAGUAGCAGCUUUUGGAACAUCAAUCUCCUGCUCCUGCAAACAUUAUUAGCACAAUUGCAAGCCGGAUAAAUUACUUCUUUGGAACAGUUCUAGAACAUACAAGAAGAAGAAAAUAUGAAGCACAGAAUGGGGCAAGAGACCCACUUGAACUGGAAAACUAUCAUCUUUAAUUAGUUCCCACCGCUGCCUUUUGAGAUUAAGCUUCUCUUCAUCCCCAUCAGCAUACAAGACCUGAACAAGUCAUCAACAGAAGUAUUUUAGAGCUAUGAUAGGAAGAAAUGAAGAUAGAUAGCUCCAUUGAUGAUGGAAGUUGUGUGAGAAGAUUUGGACUCUAUCAUCCACAAUGAACCAAUUACUUUAUCAAAGGAGUAAUUUGGAUCCAUUGAUCUUACAAGAAAAGCUAUAGAGACAAACAAAAGGAGUCAUUGCUGUAAGACAAUUUCUCAUGAUUUAUCAUAAACUUUGGCCCCAGGUACAGUCACAAUUGCUAUAUAAAGACUGAAAUAGUAGAAGACAGGUUCAUUCCCCCUACUUCCUUUUUUUCCAAGAUAAGUAGGGAUCACUCAGAGUCAUCUCACCCUGUGCUUCUUUUUGAUGGGGUCGUAGGAAUCAACAACUCCUUCAUAGAACCUGCAGAACAAGGAAUCACGCUUAGAAACUUCAUGAUGGAUGUUCUUUAGGAAAGAUCAAGAAAUAAAGGUGGUUAUAAGCUGAGCAUUAAUUCAAAUUUCUGAAACCAGAUUCUCAGCCAAAGAUGUCUAGUCCAUCUCAAAACCCAUGAUCUGCGUUCACUAAAAAUAAAAAGCAAGUAGCAAGUGGAAUUCUUUUACAAAUUGAUGGUUUCUUCUUUUUCCUUCUGUGCUGAGCUGACAUCAGGCAAUAGCUCCGCACCCACAAAAAGCAUUUUCAGAAGCUCAAAAUACAGUAAACAAAAACAUCAACUUUCUCUGUCAAAGGAAAACUUAGAUACACCAUAUAAGAUCAAUAAAGAAAAUUACAGCAUGUCAUACGUAAAGACGUUCAAAUGAAAGAUCCUCCCUAGUAGAAUAUGACACGCUGCCUAACCCCUUUAAUCACCCUCAGUAAGAUUUUGUAAUGUUCAAAGAUCAACAUAAAACAAACCAAAAGAACCACCUUUAGAACCCUGGUGUAAGACAAAGACAUCAAAUUGACAACAUGAUCUCUCUUCAGUUAAUUUGUUAAACAGUUAUUUCCAAGACUAGUCAUCAAAGAUGCAUGCAGUCAUCAAAGAUUGCAUUAUCAUUUCAAGUCUGCACUUUUGGGAGAAAAACAAACAAGAUAAUGAUGAAUAAAUUGCUCUCAUCCCACUUCAAAAGCCUAUUCAGUGACCUUAUACUCGGCAUAUAUAACUUCAGUCUCCAAUAUGAACAUAGAACAUGUAGAAGUCCAUCUAACAGAUCAUAGUGCAAAAAGUUAUCAAGUCCUAUAAGCAUUGGUGAUUGAAGACAGCUACAACACAACAAGAAGCAAGACAUGACAGGAAAUGCAAGAGAAAUUCUGACCAUCUAACAUAUCCUUUUCAGAAAAUUGAAACUAGAAGUCACAUGUUCAAGUCUCACCUCUUAUCCAUUGGCCACCAAACCUUUAUUUUGCUACCAACCAAUUGCUCACUGAGAUCAGGAGUUUCAGAAGACUGAAUUUAAGAAAAUAGUCAUUUCAAUAAAUUGAAAACGAACAAAGAUUACAGAAGGUAAGAACAAGAAAAAAAUCUCUAUCUAGAAGCAUGACGUAUAAGCAUGCUUAAAUGAAAUACAAGUGAAUAAAAAAAAACACAAAACAUAAGCAUGUGACAGAUCACAAUCCAAGAGCUCCAGAACAAGCUUCAACAGAGCUUUUUCAUGACAACCCAAAGAGAAAAGACUAGGUCUCAAUGGUAGUUUUCAAUGAGCAUGAAAUGAAUUUAUUUGAUGAAUUUGAUAUUCCAAUAAGAACUGACAAUUACUAGAUAAGUUCAGAGUAUUUGUAUGGUUUAUACCCUAUAUCAGAUAGAGGCACAUCAUCACUGUAAACCACAAGUAUCUACCACCCCUGUUAGACUUAAAAAUACUACUGGCAUUUAUUCAUGUUCAAGGCACAAAAUU
rnacentral:lncRNA from 1 species